AAUUACAGAUAUAAGCCACUGCCCCCAGCCUCUAUCUUAAAAAAAGAAAAAAUAUAUUUAUUGAAGGUCUGGGAGUGGUGGAUUAUACCUAUGGUCCCAGCUACUCCAGAGAGCUGAAGUGGAAGGAUCUCUCAAGCCCAGGAGAUGAAGACUGCUGUGAGCUAUGAUCAUGCCUCUGACUUCCAGCCUGGGUGACAGUGAGACCCUCUCUCA